rnacentral:rRNA from 1 species
AGUGAACGCUGGCGGUAGGCCUAACACAUGCAAGUCGAACGGCAGCACAGUAAGAGCUUGCUCUUACGGGUGGCGAGUGGCGGACGGGUGAGGAAUACAUCGGAAUCUACUUUUUCGUGGGGGAUAACGUAGGGAAACUUACGCUAAUACCGCAUACGACCUACGGGUGAAAGCAGGGGAUCUUCGGACCUUGCGCGAUUGAAUGAGCCGAUGUCGGAUUAGCUAGUUGGCGGGGUAAAGGCCCACCAAGGCGGCGAUCCGUAGCUGGUCUGAGAGGAUGAUCAGCCACACUGGAACUGAGACACGGUCCAGACUCCUAAGGGAGGCAGCAGUGGGGAAUAUUGGACAAUGGGGGCAAGCCUGAUCCAGCCAUACCGCGUGGGUGAAGAAGGCCUUCGGGUUGUAAAGCCAUUUUGUUGGGAAAGAAAAGCAGCAGGUUAAUACCCCGCUGUUCUGACGGUACCCAAAGAAUAAGCACCGGCUAACUUCGUG